rnacentral:rRNA from 1 species
GGACCAAGGAGUCUAGCAUGUGCGCGAGUCAUGGGGACUCUGUUAAAACCUAAAGGCGUAAUGAAAGUGAAUAUUUGAUGUGUUCAAAAUUUAUUUUGAUCACUGAUAAAUUAAGGGAAGAUGGGUGACGGAUUUUAUGUCACCUCGCAUUCCCGGGGCGUCGCGUACUUAUUGCAAGUUGCGGCGCACCUAGAGCGUACACGCUGGGACCC